ACUGCUUCUCAGCCUUUUGGCUAAGAUUGAGUAUAGUAUCUGUUUUUAUCAGUAUACAAAAACGAAUGCAUUAAAAAUGAUUAGUUUAUGUUAUUGUACACAUAUU
rnacentral:snRNA from 1 species